GUGAAUGGGGCUUGCUUCUAUGCAGGUAAGCAAGAGAGAUCAGAGGGGGAUCCAGAGUCCCUCUUGGCUGGAAACUGUCUCACAAGAGCAUCAGCAGGUGUCUCUGACGUGCCAGGGACAGAGUGCCCACCGGCCCCUUGGAGCUUACGGCUCUAGGAGGAAAGCAGGACAGGCAGAAGAGCUGCAGACAGACGUCAAGUGAUGAGCCGAGAAGCUACUCUCUGAACGUCUUCCUGUAUGAGAGCAAAGCAUCAUGGACAGAUCCUUUGGAGAUGAACACUCAGAGGAGCCAACUCACCAAGUGGAGACUGGGACACAUUCCUGGUGCUGCUCCAGGCUCCUCUUCUCCUUCCGCUUCUGAUCCUGACCGGUGUAGUCAGAAGACAAUGGUGUGAGAGCACACAAGGAGAGAGGUCGGACUGAGGCGAGAAGACAUGAGCUUCAAGAGAGCAGCAUUUGAAGACAGAACCUCAACCAACUCUACUGCAGACUGUAUCCAGAACACAUUACCACACCCAUCAAGAUGCUCUCUGGGCAAGCGGCUCUCCCUCACACUCACAUCCUGCCUGCCCUCCUUAGGCAUCUGGGGUGCCCCAAUCUCAGUUCUCUCUGCUCUCAUCAGAAUCAUCCACAAGAAAAGACACACCAGCAGGCUAUCUCCCGUGCAAGCCUGCAGUGGCUCCCAUCUUCCCGAAGUCUGGGCCUCCCUCUUCAUUCCCCUCCUCUUUGUCUUCUAUGUCACCGACUGGACUUCAGGUCACUCUAGGAACCCCUAUAUACCAUUCUCUCCUCUCCCAGUGCUACCUAGUUUAGGGUUGCCAGAUAAAA
rnacentral:lncRNA from 1 species